CCGGCGCACGGGUGCGUAACGCGUAUGCAAUCUACCUUUUACAGAGGGAUAGCCCAGAGAAAUUUGGAUUAAUACCUCAUAGUAUGCAGAGUUGGCAUCAACUUUGCAUUAAAGUCACAACGGUAAAAGAUGAGCAUGCGUCCCAUUAGCUAGUUGGUAAGGUAACGGCUUACCAAGGCGACGAUGGGUAGGGGUCCUGAGAGGGAGAUCCCCCACACUGGUACUGAGACACGGACCAGACUCCUACGGGAGGCAGCAGUGAGGAAUAUUGGACAAUGGGCGCAAGCCUGAUCCAGCCAUGCCGCGUGCAGGAUGACGGUCCUAUGGAUUGUAAACUGCUUUUGCACAGGAAGAAACAACUCUACGUGUAGAGUCUUGACGGUACUGUGAGAAUAAGGAUCGGCUAACUCCGUGCCAGCAGCCGCGGUAAUACCGAGGAUCCAAGCGUUAUCCGGAAUCAUUGGGUUUAAAGGGUCCGUAAGCGGUUUAGUAAGUCAGUGGUGAAAGCCCAUCGCUCAACGGUGGAACGGCCAUUGAUACUGCUAGACUUGAAUUAUUAGGAAGUAACUAGAAUAUGUAGUGUAGCGGUGAAAUGCUUAGAGAUUACAUGGAAUACCAAU
rnacentral:rRNA from 1 species